UUUCCAGAGAUGGAUUGGUGCCUUCGGGAACUGUGAGACAGGUGCUGCAUGGCUGUCGUCAGCUCGUGUUGUGAAAUGUUGGGUUAAGUCCCGCAACGAGCGCAACCCUUAUCCUUUGUUGCCAGCGAUUAGGUCGGGAACUCAAAGGAGACUGCCAGUGAUAAACUGGAGGAAGGUGGGGAUGACGUCAAGUCAUCAUGGCCCUUACGACCAGGGCUACACACGUGCUACAAUGGCGCAUACAAAGAGAAGCGACCUCGCGAGAGCAAGCGGACCUCAUAAAGUGCGUCGUAGUCCGGAUUGGAGUCUGCAACUCGACUCCAUGAAGUCGGAAUCGCUAGUAAUCGUGGAUCAGAAUGCCACGGUGAAUACGUUCCCGGGCCUUGUACACACCGCCCGUCACACCAUGGGAGUGGGUUGCAAAAGAAGUAGGUAGCUUAACCUUCGGGAGGGCGCUUACCACUUUGUGAUUCAUGACUGGGGUGAAGUCGUAACAAGGUAACCGUAGGGGAACCUGCGGUUGGA
rnacentral:rRNA from 12 species